GCUUGAAGUUUUGUAGUGGAGUGACUUUCUGGUGAGAUCCCUGACUCUUGCUAAUCCUGAGCCGGUUCCAAAAAAAGAUGUACCUUUUCUGCUUGUUCCUCUGAGCCGUUUUGGAAUUGGGUUUCUUCUCAGUCGUCUUAUAUAUUCCUUUAACAAGUAUUGAUUUAAAAGAUUCCUCUGAGCCUUUUUGGAAUUGGACGAACACAUUUAGUUUGUUCCUCUGCCAGAGUCACAUUUGCAAUAAUCAAAAGAGCUUUUGAAGCCUGGAUAGCUCAGUUGGUAGAGCCUCAGACUUUUAAUCUAAGGGUCUAGGGUUUAAGUCCCUGUUCAGGCUUGAUGUCUUGUAGUGCAGUGAUUCCUGACUCUUGCUAAUCCUGAGCCGGUUCCAAAGAAAGCUAUACCUUUUCUGCUUGUUCCUCUGAGCCUUUUUGGAAUUGGGUUUCUCCUCAGUCGUCUUAUAUAUUCGUUUAACAAGUAUUGUUUUACAAGAUUACCUUUCAAUCAAGGUCAAACCUCAGUUGGUAGAGCAUCAGACUUUUAAUCUAAGGGUCCAGGGUUCAAGUCCCUGUUCAGACUUAAUGUCUUGUAGUGCAGUGAUUCCUGACUCUUGCUAAUCCUGAGCCGGUUCCAAAGAAAGCUGUACCUUUUCUGCUCAUUCCUCUGAGCCUUUUUGGAAUUGGACGAACACAUUUAGUUUGUUCCUCUGCCAGAGUCACAUUUGCAAUAAUCAAAAGAGCUUUUGAAGCCUGGAUAGCUCAGUCGGUAGAGCAUCAGACUUUUAAUCUGAGGGUCCAGGGUUCAAGUCCCUGUUCAGGCUUGAUGUCUUGUAGUGCAAUCACUUUCUGGUUAGGUUCCUGAUUCUUGCUAAUCCUGAGCUGGUUCCAAAACAAGCUGUACCUUUUCAUCUUGUUCCUCUGAGCCUUUUUGGAAUUGGGUUUCUCCUCAGUCGUCUUAUAUAUUCGUUUAACAAGUAUUGUUUUACAAGAUUACCUUUCAAUCAAGGUCAAACCUCAGUUGGUAGAGCCUCAGACUUUUAAUCUAAGGGUCCAGGGUUCAAGUCCCUGUUCAGGCUUGAUGUCUUGUAGUGCAGUCACUUUCUGGUUAGGUUCCUGAUGCUUGCUAAUCCUGAGCUGGUUCCAAAACAAGCUGUACCUUUUCAUCUUGUUCCUCUGAGCC
ensembl:lncRNA